UUAUCGGGUGGGUGAGCGGGGAAGAUAACUUUGGUUUUUGAGAUAGUACUUGUUAUUUUCCCUACUCCACCCAUCCCAUAG
rnacentral:pre_miRNA from 1 species